UAGACAGGUAUCUAUUCACUCAAGAUAGAGC
rnacentral:piRNA from 1 species